AAACCUUUAAAACGGUGUAGCUGCUUUGGAAGCAAUAUCAAAGACUUUCUCGAGCAACUAUGCUAGCAUUCAGAUUUUGUACAGCCCUCAUGCUCGUUGUCUUGAGCGUUAAGAAAGCAUACGUGUUUCAAAUCAAAGACCUGCGUGAUGGUUGUAACACUACCGACCUCAAAAGGUUUUGGAACACAACCGAGGCAAUAUGGACCGUUGAUACAGCGGACAAAGCAGGAUCUGGCCUUUUUUGUCAAGUAGACGUCAGGGAAAAUGUCACUGGAAUGUACACAUUUUUCCAAAGAUCUCACUACGACUCGGGCACAAAAGAGAGCAAGACUGUUCAGCUCAAGGGGGUUCUUUCUUCUAGAACGACGUUCGAUCCACCAGGAAUGCUCCUUUAUUAUACAAGUAAG